rnacentral:rRNA from 1 species
GACGAACGCUGGCGGCGUGCUUAACACAUGCAAGUCGAACGAUGAAGCCGGAGCUUGCUCUGGUGAAUUAGUGGCGAACGGGUGAGUAACACGUGAGUAACCUGCCCUUGACUCUGGAAUAACUGCGGGAAACUGUAGCUAAUACCGGAUACGACCCUCGGAGGCAUCUCCUGGGGGUGGAAAGAAUUUCGGUCAAGGAUGGACUCGCGGCCUAUCAGCUAGUUGGUGAGGUAAAGGCUCACCAAGGCGACGACGGGUAGCCGGCCUGAGAGGGUGACCGGCCACACUGGGACUGAGACACGGCCCAGACUCCUACGGGAGGCAGCAGUGGGGAAUAUUGCACAAUGGGCGCAAGCCUGACGCAGCAACGCCGCGUGAGGGAUGACGGCCUUCGGGUUGUAAACCUCUUUUAGCAGGGAAGAAGCGAAAGUGACGGUACCUGCAGAAAAAGCACCGGCUAACUACGUGCCAGCCGCCGCGGUAA